GUCCUUGUCGAUUAGUGGUUAGAUCAUCACGUUGUGGCCGUGAAGACGGAAGCUCGAAUCCUCCCUGGGACA
rnacentral:tRNA from 1 species